CUGGCGGCGUGCCUAACACAUGCAAGUCGAGCGAGGAGAUCCUUCGGGAUGAUCCUAGCGGCGGACGGGUGAGUAACACGUGGGCAACCUGCCUCAUAGAGAGGAAUAGCCUUCCGAAAGGGAGAUUAAUACCUCAUAACAUUGCAGUUUCGCAUGGAACAGCAAUUAAAGGAGUAAUCCGCUAUGAGAUGGGCCCGCGGCGCAUUAGCUAGUUGGUGAGGUAACGGCUCACCAAGGCGACGAUGCGUAGCCGACCUGAGAGGGUGAUCGGCCACAUUGGGACUGAGACACGGCCCAGACUCCUACGGGAGGCAGCAGUGGGGAAUAUUGCACAAUGGGGGAAACCCUGAUGCAAGCAACGCCGCGUGAGUGAUGACGGCCUUCGGGUUGUAAAGCUCUGUCUUCAGGGACGAUAAUGACGGUACCUGAGGAGGAAGCCACGGCUAACUACGUGCCAGCAGCCGC
rnacentral:rRNA from 1 species